GCGAAAGCGUGGGGAGCAACAGGAUUAGAUACCUGGUAGUCCACGCUGUAAACGAUGUCGAUUUGGAGGUUGUUCCCUUGAGGAGUGGCUUCCGGAGCUAACGCGUUAAAUCGACCGCUGGGGAGUACGGCCGCAAGGUUAAAACUCAAAUGAAUUGACGGGGGCCCGCACAAGCGGUGGAGCAUGUGGUUUAAUUCGAUGCAACGCGAAGAACCUUACCUACUCUUGACAUCCAGAGAAUUUAGCAGAGAUGCUUUAGUGCCUUCGGGAACUCUGAGACAGGUGCUGCAUGGCUGUCGUCAGCUCGUGUUGUGAAAUGUUGGGUUAAGUCCCGCAACGAGCGCAACCCUUAUCCUUUGUUGCCAGCACGUUAUGGUGGGAACUCAAAGGAGACUGCCGGUGAUAAACCGGAGGAAAGUGGGGAUGACGUCAAGUCAUCAUGGCCCUUACGAGUAGGGCUACACACGUGCUACAAUGGCGUAUACAAAGAGAAGCGACCUCGCGAGAGCAAGCGGAACUCAUAAAGUACGUCGUAGUCCGGAUUGGAGUCUGCAACUCGACUCCAUGAAGUCGGAAUCGCUAGUAAUCGUAGAUCAGAAUGCUACGGUGAAUACGUUCCCGGGCCUUGUACACACCGCCCGUCACACCAUGGGAGUGGGUUGCAAAAGAAGUAGGUAGCUUAACCUUCGGGAGGGCGCUUACCACUUUGUGAUUCAUGACUGGGGUGAAGUCGUAACAAGGUAACCA
rnacentral:rRNA from 1 species